CCUACGGGUGGCAGCAGUGGGGAAUAUUGCGCAAUGGGCGAAAGCCUGACGCAGCGACGCCGCGUGAGGGAUGAAGGUCUUCGGAUCGUAAACCUCUGUCAGCAGGGAAGAACGGUCACUGUGCUAAUCAGCCGUGAAUUGACGGUACCUGCACAGGAAGCACCGGCUAACUCCGUGCCAGCAGCCGCGGUAAUACGGAGGGUGCGAGCGUUAAUCGGCAUUAAUGCGCGUAAAGCGCUCGUAGGCGGUAUGUCAAGUCACGGGGGAAAUCCCCGCGCUCAACGUGGGAACUGCCUUUUAAACGGGCAAACUGGAGUGUGUGAGAGGAUAGGGGAAUGCCAGGGGUAGGAGUGAA
rnacentral:rRNA from 1 species